rnacentral:rRNA from 1 species
GGACCCGCACAAGUAGUGGAGCAUGUGGUUUAAUUCGAAGAUACGCGCAGAACCUUACCAACACUUGACAUGUUCGUCGCGACUCUAAGAGAUUAGAGUUUUCGGUUCGGCCGGACGAAACACAGGUGCUGCAUGGCUGUCGUCAGCUCGUGUCGUGAGAUGUUGGUUAAGUCCCGCAACGAGCGCAACCCUCACUUUUAGUUGCCAUCAUUUAGUUGGGCACUCUGAAAAGAACUGCCAAGUGAUAAGCUGGAGGAAGGUGGGGAUGACGUCAAGUCCUCAUGGCCCUUACGUGUUGGGCUACACACGUGCUACAAUGGUAUCUACAACAGGAAGCAAGACGGCGACGUUAAG